UGCAAGUCGAGCGGCAGCGACUUAACUGAACCUUCGGGGAACGUUAAGGGCGGCGAGCGGCGGACGGGUGAGUAAUGCCUGGGAAUAUGCCCUGAUGUGGGGGAUAACUAUUGGAAACGAUAGCUAAUACCGCAUAAUCUCUUCGGAGCAAAGAGGGGGACCUUCGGGCCUCUCGCGUCAGGAUUAGCCCAGGUGGGAUUAGCUUGUUGGUGAGGUAAUGGCUCACCAAGGCAACGAUCCCUAGCUGGUCUGAGAGGAUGAUCAGCCACACUGGAACUGAGACACGGUCCAGACUCCUACGGGAGGCAGCAGUGGGGAAUAUUGCACAAUGGGGGAAACCCUGAUGCAGCCAUGCCGCGUGUGUGAAGAAGGCCUUCGGGUUGUAAAGCACUUUCAGUAGGGAGGAAGGUAGUGUAGUUAACACCUGCAUUAUUUGACGUUACCUACAGAAGAAGCACCGGCUAACUCCGUGCCAGCAGCCGCGGUAAUACGGAGGGUGCGAGCGUUAAUCGGAAUUACUGGGCGUAAAGCGCAUGCAGGCGGCCUGUUAAGUCAGAUGUGAAAGCCCGGGGCUUAACCUCGGAAUUGCAUUUGAAACUGGCAGGCUAGAGUCUUGUAGAGGGGGGUAGAAUUUCAGGUGUAGCGGUGAAAUGCGUAGAGAUCUGAAGGAAUACCAGUGGCGAAGGCGGCCCCCUGGACAAAGACUGACGCUCAGAUGCGAAAGCG
rnacentral:rRNA from 1 species